ACCUAAUGAUGUGGACAUUUACGGAGAAAGUCCCUAAAGUGCUCCCAAGUCUCGAAAAAGAGUUCCCCAUCCAUCUGUGUGAAACUUGUGAUAGCUCUCCAAAGUU